rnacentral:rRNA from 1 species
GGUAGUCUCGGCCCUAAAACGAUGAUCACUAGGUGUCGGGGGGUUUCCCUCGGUGCCGCAGCUAACGCAUUAAGUGAUCCGCCUGGGGACUACGGCCGCAAGGUUGAAACUCAAAGGAAUUGGCGGGGGCCCGCACAAGCGGUGGAGCAUAUGGCUUAAUUCGAUGCAACGCGAAGAACCUUACCCAGGCUUGACAUGUACCUGCAAGCUCCCCAAAAGGAGCCGCUCUCGAAGGUGGUACACAGGUGGUGCAUGGCUGUCGUCAGCUCGUGUUGUGAAAUGUUGGGUUAAGUCCCGCAACGAGCGCAACCCUCAUGUUAUGUUGCCAGCGAGUAAUGUCGGGAACUCGUAACAAACUGCCUAUGUAAAUAGGAGGAAGGUGGGGAUGACGUCAAGUCAUCAUGCCCCUUACGCCUGGGGCUGCACAUAUGCUACAAUGGAUGCUACAAACGGUCGCGAACCCGCGAGGGCGAGCUAAUCUGAAAAAAGCAUUCUCAGUUCGGAUUGGAGUCUGCAGCUCGACUCCAUGAAGCCGGAAUCGCUAGUAACCGCAGGUCAGCAUUACUGCGGUGAAUACGUUCCCGGGCCUUGCACACACCGCCCGUCACGUGACGAAAGUUGGUUUUGCCCGAAGUCGUUGAGCUAACCGCAAGGAAGCAGACGCCGAAGGUAAAGCCGAUGAUUGGCGCGAAGUCGUAACAAGGUAGCCGUAUCGGAAGGUGC